rnacentral:rRNA from 1 species
CGUGUAGGCGGCUAGGUAGGUCGGAUGUGAAAGUCCCGGGCUCAACCCGGGAAGUGCAUUCGAAACCGCUUGGCUAGAGUAAGAGAGAGGAAAGUGGAAUUCCUGGUGUAGAGGUGAAAUUCGUAGAUAUCAGGAGGAACACCGGUGGCGAAGGCGACUUUCUGGCUCUAUACUGACGCUGAGACGCGAAAGCGUGGGUAGCAAACAGGAUUAGAUACCCUGGUAGUCC